CAAUAGCGUAUAUUUAAGUUGUUGCAGUUAAAAAGCUCGUAGUCGGAUUUUGGCUGAGAACGAUCGGUCCGCCGUUAGGUGUGCACUGAUUGGUCUCAGCUUCCUGGUGAGGAGGUGUGCUUCACGGCCACUUAGUCACCGUGGUUACUUUGAAAAAAUUAGAGUGUUCAAAGCGGGCUUACGCUUGAAUAUAUUAGCAUGGAAUAACACCAUAGGACUCCUGUCCUAUUUCGCUGGUCUCGGGACGGGAGUAAUGAUUAAGAGGAACAGUUGGGGGCAUUCGUAUUUCAUUGUCAGAGGUGAAAUUCUUGGAUUUAUGAAAGACGAACUUCUGCGAAAGCAUUUGCCAAGGAUGUUUUCAUUGA
rnacentral:rRNA from 1 species